UCCAUGGUGGCUCAAUGGUAAAGAAGCUGCCUGCAAUGCAGGAGCCUCAGGUUCAAUCCCUGAAUUAGGAA
rnacentral:tRNA from 1 species